rnacentral:rRNA from 1 species
GACGAACGCUGGCGGCGUGCUUAACACAUGCGAGUCGAACGGAAAGGCCUCUUUCGGGGGGUACUCGAGUGGCGAACGGGUGAGUAACACGUGAGUAACCUGCCCUUGACUUUGGGAUAACUUCAGGAAACUGGGGCUAAUACCGGAUAGGAGCUCCUGCUGCAUGGUGGGGGUUGGAAAGUUUCGGCGGUUGGGGAUGGACUCGCGGCUUAUCAGCUUGUUGGUGGGGUAGUGGCUUACCAAGGCUUUGACGGGUAGCCGGCCUGAGAGGGUGACCGGCCACAUUGGGACUGAGGUACGGCCCAGACUCCUACGGGAGGCAGCAGUGGGGAAUAUUGCACAAUGGGUGGAAGCCUGAUGCAGCAACGCCGUGUGCGGGAUGACGGCCUUCGGGUUGUAAACCGCUUUCGCUCAUGACGAAGCUUUGUGUGACGGUAGUGGGUAAAGAAGCACCGGCUAACUACGG